rnacentral:rRNA from 1 species
GAAAGUAAGCAAGGGCAGACGGUGGAUGCCUUGGCUCUCGGAGGCGACGAAGGACGUGAUAAGCUGCGAAAAGCCCGGGGGAGGCGCAAAUAGCCGUUGAUCCCGGGAUAUCCGAAUGGGGCAACCCGGCAGGCUGAAGGCCUGCCAUCCCGUAAGGGAGGCGAACGUGGGGAACUGAAACAUCUAAGUACCCAUAGGAGGAGAAAAUAAACAAUGAUUCCGUAAGUAGUGGCGAGCGAACACGGAAGAGCCCAAACCCGUGGCGUCUAGGCGACACGGGGGUUGUAGGACCACGACGUGGCAAGAAAGCAGGGAAAUGGAAGCGCUUGGAAAAGCGCGCCAUAGACGGUGAAAGCCCGGUACAUGACUCCCUGCCGAAGCCUAGUGGCAUCCUGAGUAGCGCGGGGCACGAGAAAUCUUGCGUGAAACUGCGGGGCCCAUCCCGUAAGGCUAAAUACUCCCGAGAGACCGAUAGCGAACCAGUACCGUGAGGGAAAGGUGAAAAGAACCCCGAGCAGGGGAGUGAAAUAGACCCUGAACCCGUCUGCCUACAAGCGGUCGGAGCGUUGUUAUGACGUGACGGCGUGCCUUUUGCAUAAUGAACCUACGAGUUACCUUCCCCGGCAAGGUUAAGUACCUAAGGUACGGAGCCGAAGCGAAAGCGAGUCUGAAGAGGGCGGCCAGUCGGGGGGGGUAGACGCGAAACCGAGUGAUCUACCCUUGGCCAGGUUGAAGGUUGGGUAACACCAACUGGAGGACCGGAUGGGUAAGCGUUGAAAAGCUUUCCAAUGAGCUGAGGGUAGGGGUGAAAGGCUAAUCAAACUUGGAGAUAGCUCGUACUCCCCGAAAUGCAUUUAGGUGCAGCCUCUUUAUAGUAUAUCGUGAGGUAGAGCGACUGAUUGGAUGCGAGGGCUUCACCGCCUAUCAAGUCCAGAUAAACUCCGAAUGCGCGAUAUAUAUUUACAGGGAGUGAGGGCGCGGGUGCUAAGGUCCGUGUCCGAGAGGAGAAGAAUCCAGACCACCGGCUAAGGCCCCCAAAUGAUCGUUGAGUUGAACUAACGAGGUCGGAUCGCAGAGACAGCUAGGAUGUUGGCUUGGAAGCAGCCAUUCAUUUAAAGAGUGCGUAACAGCUCACUAGUCGAGCGAUCUGGCGUGGAUAAUAAUCGGGCAUAAACGAUCUGCCGAAGCCGUGGAUGUCGUAAGACAUGGUAGGGGAGCAUUCCAUGCUGCGUCGAAGAUGAGGGAUGACCCUUGUUGGAGCGCAUGGAAAAGCAAAUGUAGGUAUGAGUAACGAUAAGGGGGGCGAGAAACCCCCCCGCCGAAAGACCAAGGUUUCCUGAUCAACGCUAAUCGGAUCAGGGUGAGUCGGGACCUAAGGCAAAGCCGAACGGCGCCGCCGAUGGAAGAAUGGGUUAAUAUUCCCAUACUGCCUCAUGGAGUGACGUGGAGACGGAGAAGUGACAGUCCUGCCGGCUGACGGAAUAGCCGGUUGAAGGGUGUAGGAGUCGAUCAUGGUAGGCAAAUCCGCCGUGAGAUCCGAACCUGAGAGUAUACCGAGUACUUGUACGAGGUAAUAUGGACGUAACCAUGCUCCCAAGAAAAUCCGCUAAACUUAUCCAUGCGGCACCCGUACCGUAAACGGACACACGUGGUCGGGUUGAGAAUACUGAGGCGCUCGAGUGACUCACGGUUAAGGAACUAGGCAAAUUGACCCUGUAACUUCGGGAUAAAGGGUCCUCGUCGUAAGGCGAGGCGCAGAGAAUAGGUCCAGGCAACUGUUUAACAAAAACACAUGGCUGUGCUAAAUGGAAACAUGACGUAUACAGCCUGACACCUGCCCGGUGCUGGAAGGUUAAGAGGAGAUGUCAUCGCGAGAGAAGCGUUGAAUUGAAGCCCCAGUAAACGGCGGCCGUAACUAUAACGGUCCUAAGGUAGCGAAAUUCCUUGUCGGGUAAGUUCCGACCUGCACGAAUGGUGUAAUGAUCUGGACACUGUCUCAACCGUGAGCU